CACGUGCUGAAAAGGUAUUUUAUUGGCAGCUCUUCUCACACGACAAAAUUCCACACACAAUCUGUAACAAAGAUCACAUUUAGUAUAUUAAAAUUAACACUUCAAAUAUAUAUUAAAUAAUUACUACACAAAUCUCUCAUAGGUGCCUAUCCAUUUCUUUGACUAUAAAUCAAAGCUGAAAUAUUCUCUUGAUCUAAUUUGGGAUUUUAAAAAGCUUCCAUUUGCAUUGAAUUGUGCUACUCUUAAUCAGGGAGAAUUACUGGAAAUGCAGGUUAGCAUAUAAUUUAUCUUUGACGGCAAAGUUACCGAACAACCACUUUGAGCCAGGUAAUUUUUAUCUAGUGAUAAAGAGAGUUUAUCACAAGGAUACUUGAUGGCUAAUACCACUAGACUACUUCCUGAUCGGAGGCUAGUCGAGAUAAGUAAUUCCCAACCCUGGAGACUCAGCCUGCAUGCUAUAUGUUUAGCUGUAGGCACUGCUGUUUCAAAAACACUUGACUAGGUAGCAGCAUGCCUUUGGUCUUAGCACUUGGGAGGGAGAGGCAGGUAGAUCUCUGUGAAUUCAAGGCCAGCCUGGCCUACAGAUCGAGUUCCAGAACAGCCAGGGAAAUCCUGUUAAAACAAAACAAAACAAAACAAAAAACCAACAACAAAAUAAAACAAAACAAAAAACUCCAAAAAGCAAAAAACAAAAAAUACCCACAAA
rnacentral:lncRNA from 1 species